rnacentral:rRNA from 1 species
UACGUAGGGUGCAAGCGUUAAUCGGAAUUACUGGGCGUAAAGCGUGCGCAGGCGGUAAUGUAAGUCAGUUGUGAAAUCCCCGGGCUCAACCUGGGAACUGCAUCUGUGACUGCAUUGCUGGAGUACGGCAGAGGGGGAUGGAAUUCCGCGUGUAGCAGUGAAAUGCGUAGAUAUGCGGAGGAACACCGAUGGCGAAGGCAAUCCCCUGGGCCUGUACUGACGCUCAUGCACGAAAGCGUGGGGAGCAAACAGG